CACGCUGUAAACGAUGUCGAUUUGGAGUUUGUUGCCUAGAGUGAUGGGCUCCGAAGCUAACGCGAUAAAUCGACCGCUGGGGAGUACGGCCGCAAGGUUAAAACUCAAAUGAAUUGACGGGGGCCCGCACAAGCGGUGGAGCAUGUGGUUUAAUUCGAUGCAACGCGAAGAACCUUACCUGGUCUUGACAUCCAUAGAAUUCUGCAGAGAUGUGGGAGUGCCUUCGGGAACUAUGAGACAGGUGCUGCAUGGCUGUCGUCAGCUCGUGUUGUGAAAUGUUGGGUUAAGUCCCGCAACGAGCGCAACCCUUAUUCUUUGUUGCCAGCGAUUUGGUCGGGAACUCAAAGGAGACUGCCGUUGAUAAAGCGGAGGAAGGUGGGGACGACGUCAAGUCAUCAUGGCCCUUACGACCAGGGCUACACACGUGCUACAAUGGCGUAUACAAAGGGAAGCGAAGGUGCGAGCUGGAGCGGAUCUCAUAAAGUACGUCUAAGUUCGGAUUGGAGUCUGCAACUCGACUCAUGAAGUCGGAAUCGCUAGUAAUCGUAGAUCAGAAUGCUACGGUGAAUACGUUCCCGGGCCUUGUACACACCGCCCGUCACACCAUGGGAGUGGGUUGCACCAGAAGUAGAUAGCUUAACCGCGAGGGGGGCGUUUACCACGGUGUGAUUCAUGACUGGGGUGAAGUCGUAACAAGGUAACCA
rnacentral:rRNA from 1 species